rnacentral:sRNA from 1 species
UCCCCUCCGUAGUGCGGCUUCUUCAAGCGAGCCCGCACUCGCGCCCUGUAUGAAGCUAAGAGGCAGAAGGCGGAGAUGAAGAGCCAGCCGUCAGAGACAGAGAGGCUGACCGACGACUACUGAGGGGGCAGCCCCCCGCCCCCGGCCCACCUGGUGUGACUUCUUUAAGCGGACCCACUAUUAUCAGAUCAUGCCCAAGUACCAUGCAGUGCGGAUCCGGGAGGAGGAGCGCUACCCACCUCCAGGGAGCACCCUGCCCACCAAGAAGCACUGGGUGACCAGCUGGCAGACUCGGGACCAAUACUACUGACGUCCUCCCUGAUCCCACCCCCUCCUCCCCCAGUGUCCCCUUUCUUCCUAUUUAUCAUAAGUUAUGCCUCUGACAGUCCACAGGGGCCACCACCUUUGGCUAGUAGCAGCAGGCUCAGGCACAUACACCUCGUCAAGAGCAUGCACAUGCUGUCUGGCCCUGGGGAUCUUCCCACAGGAGGGCCAGCGCUGUGGACCUUACAACGCCGAGUGCACUGCGGUCCUGUGCCCUAGAUGCACGUGGGGCCCACUGCUCGUGGACUGUGCUGGUGCAUCACGGAUGGUGCAUGGGCUCGCCGUGUCUCAGCCUCUGCCAGCACCAAAACAAGCCAAAGAGCCUCCCACCAGAGCCGGGAGGAAAAGGCCCCUGCAAUGUGGUGACACCUCCCCCUUUCACACUGGAUCCAUCUUGAGCCACAGUCGCUGGAUUGACUUUGCUGUCAAAACUACUGACAGGGAGCAGCCCCCGGGCCGCUGGCUGUUGGGCCCCCAAUGACACCCAUGCCAGAGAGGUGGGGGUCCUGCCUAAGGUUGUCUACGGGGGCACUUGG